UGCGCAGGCGGAAUAUUAAGUCAGUGGUGAAAUCCUACAGCUCAACUGUAGAGCUGCCAUUGAAACUGAUAUUCUUGAGUAUAGUUGUAGUGGGCGGAAUAUAUCAUGUAGCGGUGAAAUGCUUAGAUAUGAUAUAGAACACCGAUCGCGAAGGCAGCUCACUAAACUAUAACUGACGCUCAGGCACGAAAGCGUGGGGAGCAAACAGGAUUAGAUACCCUGGUAGUCC
rnacentral:rRNA from 1 species